rnacentral:rRNA from 1 species
GGGGAAAAUUAAUUAAUUUAAGUUUAAUAAAAAAAAUUUUAAUAUUAAAAAGAAAAAUGGGGGUUUGAGUAUUUUUAAUAGAAAAAAUUAAUAAAUUUAUAGUUAAAUAUUACUGUAAAGGAAUUUAUAAAUAAGUGAAAUAUAAUUAAUAGAAAAGUAAAUUUAAAUUAUUGUAUCUUGUGUAUCAGAGUUUAUUAAAUAAUAAUAAUUUAUUUAAAUAAAUCUCGAAUUUAAAAGAGUUAAUUAGUUAAAAAAGUUAAUGUUGUAUAAUUAUUUUUAAUAACUAAUUAGAAAUGAAAUGUUAAUCGUUUUUAAAUAUAUCUAGUUUUUUCAGAAAAAAAUUUAAUUUUAAAUUUAAAUAAUUUUAUAAUUAUUUAAUUAAUUAUAAAAAUUUAAAUUUUAAUAUUUUAGGGGAUAAGCUUUAAAUUAAAAAUUUAUAAUUAAUAAAAUAAUUAAAAUUAAAAUUUUUAAAAUUUAUAUUGUUUAAAAAUUAUAAUUUAUUAUAAAAAAUUUUAUUUAAAAAUAAAAUUUAAAAUAAGAAAAUUUAAAUUUUUAUGAAAAAAUAAUUUAUAAUUUAGUAAAAUUAGAAAUAAUGAUAAAAUUAGUAUAAUAUAAUAAAUUAAAAAAAAAAUUAUAAUUAAAUAAGUUAAAGGAAUUCGGCAAAAUUUUAUAUUCACUUGUUUAUCAAAAACAUGUCUUUUUGAUAAUAAUUUAAAGUCUAAUCUGCCCACUGAUAAUAUAUUAAAGGGCUGCAGUAUAUUGACUGUACAAAGGUAGCAUAAUCAUUAGUCUUUUAAUUGAAGACUUGUAUGAAAGAUUUGAUGAAAUAUAAACUGUCUCUAAUUUAUGUUUAGAAAUUAAUUUUUUAGUUAAAAAGCUAAAAUAAUAUUAAAAGACGAGAAGACCCUAUAGAGUUUUAUAUUUUAUUUAAUUAAUAUUAAAUAUAUAAUUAAAUAUAUAAAUUAAAUAAAAUAUUAUGUUGGGGUGAUAGAAAAAUUUAAUAAACUUUUUUUAAAUAUAAACGUAGAUAAGUGGUUAAUUGAUCCAUUAAUAAUGAUUAAAAGAAAAAAUUACCUUAGGGAUAACAGCGUAAUAUUUUUUUUUAGUACAUAUAAAAAAAAAAGUUUGCGACCUCGAUGUUGGAUUAAGAUAAAAUUUAAAUGCAAAAGUUUAAAAUUUUGAUCUGUUCGAUCAUUAAAAUCUUACAUGAUCUGAGUUCAAACCGGUGUAAGCCAGGUUGGUUUCUAUCUUUAAUAAAAAAAAAUAUUUUAGUACGAAAGGAUCAAAUAUUUAAAAUAAUUUUAUAUGGAUGAAUGUUAAUAAUAUAAUUUA